CGCGUAGGCGGUCUCUUAAGUCAGAUGUGAAAGCCCGGGGCUUAACCCCAGAAGUGCAUUUGAAACUAAGGGACUUGAGUAUGGGAGAGGGAAGUGGAAUUCCUGGUGUAGAGGUGAAAUUCGUAGAUAUCAGGAGGAACACCGGUGGCGAAGGCGACUUCCUGGACCAAUACUGACGCUGAGGCGCGAAGGCGUGGGGAGCAAACAGGAUUAGAUACCCUGGUAGUCC
rnacentral:rRNA from 1 species